rnacentral:lncRNA from 10 species
CUGCUAUUCAGCAAUAAAUACAAAAAACAUGUUUUUGAUACAUAUAUCAAUGUGGCUGAAUGUUGAAAUAAGUAUGUUGAAUAAAAAAGCCAGAUAAAAUGAUCACAUACUGUAUAAUUAGCUUUAUCACAAUUCUAGAAAAUACAUAAUAUUGACAAAGUAAUCGGUGGUUCCCUGCAUAUGUAAUUGGAGGAAGGGAUGUUUUAUAAUAGUGAUAGUGGCAGGAGGCAGACAAAUUCCUAGGCAGAUCAGGGUGGGUCCCUGGUGAAAUCCAACUUUCAAGCCAAAGCCUGAAAAGCCUGAAAACCGGGCUGCCAGUUCCAGGUAGAAUCCACAACCGGAAGUGAGAACUUCCUGAUGCCUUUCAGCCAAUCAAAUGGUUCUUCUUUCAGAGCCCACCCAUGGACCAAUCAGCAUGCACGUCCUUCAUUCUGAGCAUAUAAAAACCCCUGGACUCGGCCACAGCUGUCGACUACCAGGCUGCGUUAGGAGCUACCGUCUUCAGCUUUUUCUCGCUGCUGAGAGCUGUUUUGUUACUCAGUAAAACUCUUCUCCACCGUGCUCACCCUUCAGUUGACCGUGCAACUUCAUUCUUCCUGGACAUAAACCCGGGACCCACAGAACAGCGGGUGCAAAAAGGGCUGUAACGCUUUCCUGGCCGGAUCGCCAAGCUGCAGGUAAGAUGUGCCUGCUUCACCUACUGGCGUGAAUGUAAACUUUCUGAGACCUUCCCAGCCAUGUGGAACUGUAGUUGGGAGCCAGGGAAGGAGUGACACUAUCCCUAGAUGUAGUGAUAUGUUUUACAGGUCCACAGCUGGAAGGAGCUUUCCUUGAUUCUCAAAUGAGACUUUGGACUUUGGACUUUUGAGUCGGUGCUGAAACAAGUUAAGAUUUUUUGGAUUAUUGGGAUGGAGUGACUGUAUUUUGCACAUGAAAAGAACAUGAGUUUUGGAAGGGUAUGGGAGAAAUUCUAUGGCUUGGGUGUUUCCUAUCUAAAACACAUGUGAAAAUAUGUUUCCUCUUUUGGCAGUGUUGGGAGGUGGAGCCUAGUGGGAGGUGUUUGAAUCAUGGGGCACUGUCUUCAUGAAAAGAUGAAUGCUGUCUCAGAGGAGUGGGUGGAUUCUCACUCUUACAGGAAUGAAUUAGUUGCCACCAGUGCGAGUUGCUAUAAAGUAAGCCCAGCCUCUCACUCAUGUCCCUUUGCACAAUCAUGCUUGCCUUUCUGCUUCUGUGCCACAUCAUGACACAUUGCAUGGCCCUCAUCAGAAGUCAAGCAGAUCCCAGGACCAUGCUCCUAGACUUUCUAGCCACUAGAAUUGUGAAUCUAUUAAAUCUCUUUUCUGCAUAAAUUACCCAGCCUCAGGUAUUCUGUCAUAGGAACACUAAAUAGAAGACA